GAGCUCGCUUCAGCAGCACAUACACUAAAAUUGGAACAAUAUAGCGAAGAUUAGCAUGGCCCCUGCACAAGGAUGAACACAAAAUUACCAAUUCAUGGUUUU